CACGAACCGUACGAACGUUAUUCGGAAUUACUGGGCUUAAAGGGUUUGUAGGCGGCCAUGUAAGUGGGGUGUGAAAUCCCUCGGCUCAACCGAGGAACAGCGCUCCAAACUGUAUGGCUUGAGGGAGACAGGGGUAAGCGGAACUGAUGGUGGAGCGGUGAAAUGCGUUGAUAUCAUCAGGAACACCGGUGGCGAAGGCGGCCCACUGGUCCGGUACUGACGCUGAGGUGCGAAAGCGUGGGGAGCAAACAGG
rnacentral:rRNA from 1 species